GCACCAAAAUUCUUCAGAGUUUAUUAGUUUAAGGACAAAUGUCACUGACUCAUGCCAAGGAACCACUUUAGCGUCAACAACAACUUUUAGAGGGAAUAGCUCCAUCAUUAAUGGAGCCAGAAUAAACCCUCAGUUACUGCAUUCCUAAGUUCCCAUGCAUACACACAUAGACGUGGGAAGAUGCAUUUGGGGGGAACUAACAUUGUAGUGGUGAUUUAGUCACUUGUGUCCCGUGGAAGCAGUACAACUUUCUUCCACAAAAGGCUGGUACCACCAUUCAGUCAAAAAACUAUAAAAUCAUAUGUAAUUGAAGAAAAAUAAAUAAAUUACAAAAAAAAAAUGAGUGGUAAUUUUCAUAGGUCUCAUCUUGGAUUUUAUAAUAGUUCGAGAGACCAGAAGUUUUGUUCUGGAUCCAUGUUAGAAAAAUUAAUCAACAGAAAGGAGACCCCACAGCCUCAAGGCAAUCUCUGCCAGAGCUCUGUCACUUGCACAGCACAAAAGUGCUCCUGGUGUUCUGGGGUAAUCUUCUGCUUUCCAGUUUGCACCCACUGCCUCUUGUCCUGGAGCUGGGCACCACUAAAAAGAGCUGUUCACUUUGUACCUUCCUUUCAGGUGUUUAUAGACAUUGAUGGGAUCUCCCUGAGGAUUCUCCUCUCCAGGCUGGACAGUCCCACGUCCCUCAAUCUGUCUUCAUGCAUUUGCAGUCUCUCCCAAAGACUGUUUUGCUUUUAUGGAAGUAGCUUUGAAAGUCUUUUGCACCAAGAACACUAUUGUCUUCUCAGAAAACUAUGGACAGGAACUACAAUUUGCUUUGUAUGCCUGACUGAUACAUAUGACUUCUUCACUUCCUCACUUGGAAGGAAUGGAGCUACAGCUAUUGCACUCUCCAUCAGGAGGCUGAUCUGCUAUAAAUGACCAAACGCACUCCAAUACGUGAAGUAGAAACUCUUUCAAGUUAAGUGGUUUGCUUUGAUCAGUAACCAGAUGCAGGAAUGGAUUUGAUUUAAAGUUUUCAUGAUAUCAAGGAUUGAUAAUCUGAGCUUUCUUGCUGCUGUCAGGAAUAUUUCCCAGUCAGCAAGUUGUGUCUGCAAGUUGUUACCAGCUGGUGAUAGCUCUCAAUUUGCUAUGGGAGGAACAGGACUUUGGCAAGCUUCCUUACAAUAUGGAAAUGUAGUUAUGUAGCAACAGGGAUAUCAAAUAGUGACUAUCAGUCUCCACUCCGUGCUGAGGGUGUCAGCCACUGCAGAUAUGGGGAGUGGGCCAGCAGGAAGAGCUGAGCAUCUUGGGGAAAGAGAAGAGGAGGAAAGAAGGCAAGAGUCUUAAGGUGGGGUGAGAACAAGAGCCAGAACAAAAAGAGGAAAGAAGGUUUAAGAAGAUGGUCAAGAGUUGAUCAUGGAAGACAGCUGGAACUGCAGGAAGAAAAUGAUGCUGCUCAUUCUGUGAAAAAGUUGGCUGUUCACACUCUACACAGGGCUGAAAUUCAUCUUAGGAGCAAGCCCCACCAAAGGGCUAGAUCCUCUGCUCUUACCUCCCUGUGUGAGCAGAGUUCUCUCAAGUCCACAGAUGGACUUUAAAGUUUACUUGCUGGUGGAGUAGAAAGGGCAGAUUUCAUCCCUGCCUCCUCCACACGGCAACACACAGAGCUGAGUCCAGUCCACCACACAGAUCCAUCUCCUUUCAGCCAAUACACUUCCCCAGCCAAAGAG
ensembl:lncRNA